UACGUAGGGCGCAAGCGUUGUCCGGAAUUAUUGGGCGUAAAGAGCUCGUAGGCGGUCUGUUGCGUCCGCUGUGAAAACCCGGGGCUUAACCCCUGGCUUGCAGUGGAUACGGACAGACUAGAGGUAGGUAGGGGAGAAUGGAAUUCCCGGUGUAGCGGUGAAAUGCGCAGAUAUCGGGAGGAACACCGGUGGCGAAGGCGGUGCUCUGGGCCUUACCUGACGCUGAGGAGCGAAAGCGUGGGGAGCGAACAGG
rnacentral:rRNA from 1 species